rnacentral:rRNA from 1 species
AGAGUUUGAUCAUGGCUCAGAUUGAACGCUGGCGGCAGGCCUAACACAUGCAAGUCGAACGGUAGCACAGAGAGCUUGCUCUCGGGUGACGAGUGGCGGACGGGUGAGUAAUGUCUGGGAAACUGCCCGAUGGAGGGGGAUAACUACUGGAAACGGUAGCUAAUACCGCAUAACGUCGCAAGACCAAAGAGGGGGACCUUAGGGCCUCUUGCCAUCGGAUGUGCCCAGAUGGGAUUAGCUUGUAGGUGAGGUAACGGCUCACCUAGGCGACGAUCCCUAGCUGGUCUGAGAGGAUGACCAGCCACACUGGAACUGAGACACGGUCCAGACUCCUACGGGAGGCAGCAGUAGGGAAUCUUCGGCAAUGGACGAAAGUCUGACCGAGCAACGCCGCGUGAGUGAAGAAGGCCUUCGGGUUGUAAAGUACUUUCAGCGGGGAGGAAGGGAGUGAGGUUAAUAACCUUAUUCAUUGACGUUACCCGCAGAAGAAGCACCGGCUAACUCCGUGCCAGCCGCCGCGGUAAUAC